UGGAUGCCAUGGAAAUCCUGACGCCU
rnacentral:piRNA from 1 species